UACGAGUGGAGCAAACGUUGUUCGGAUUUACUGGGCGUAAAGGGCGUGUAGGCGGCCUGCUAAGUCGUGGUUGAAAGCCCUCGGCUCAACCGGGGAAUUGGUCACGAAACUGGCGGGCUUGAGGUCGGCAGGGGGGUGUGGAACGUCGGGUGGAGCGGUGAAAUGCGUAGAUAUCCGACGGAACACCGGUGGCGAAGGCGACACCCUGGGUCGAACCUGACGCUGAGGCGCGAAAGCGUGGGGAGCAAACAGG
rnacentral:misc_RNA from 1 species